GAUGAACGCUAGCGGCAGGCCUAAUACAUGCAAGUCGAACGGUGUAGCAAUACAUAGUGGCGCACGGGUGCGUAACACGUAUGCAACCUACCUUAUACUGGGGGAUAGCCUUUGGAAACGGAGAUUAAUACCCCAUAGUACAUUUAGAUGGCAUCAUUUGAAUGUUAAAGAUUUAUCGGUAUAAGCUGGGCAUGCGUCCAAUUAGUUAGUUGGUGAGGUAACGGCUCACCUAGACUUUGAUUGGUAGGGGAACUGAGAGGUUAAUCCCCCACACUGGCACUGAGAUACGGGCCAGACUCCUACGGGAGGCAGCAGUAGGGAAUAUUGGGCAAUGGAGGCAACUCUGACCCAGCCAUGCCGCGUGCAGGAAGAAGGCGUUAUGCGUUGUAAACUGCUUUUAUAUAGGAAGAAAUAGUCCUUGCGAGGAAAGUUGACGGUACUAUAUGAAUAAGCACCGGCUAACUCCGUGCCAGCAGCCGCCGUAA
rnacentral:rRNA from 1 species